CUGAGCCAGCCCAGGCUGGCCUUAUCUCUCUCCUCAGCCCAGUGUUUGUUUGAAGAGAAUCAAAGCAUGUUCUUUUUCUGUUUUCUUCAAAGGGAAGGAGAGAAUGAUGCUGGCCACUGCAAGAGGAGAGGGGACUUCGGUUUGCUGGUGGAGUGGUCACAUCAGAGCUUCUGCUGCAGUCUCUUUGCUUCUGGUCAAGUUCUAGCUCUGCUGCCAUCUUUCACCUCCAACACCCCUGAAGCACGGGGAACAGAGGAAGCCCCAGGUUAUCCUGUGGGUAUAACGUUGCUGCCUCGAAGGAAACUCCAUAAGGUACACAGUUGUCAACACGUUAAGCCUCCCAGUGCCUUCAUCCAAAAACUGCAAUGUCCAGAGACAGCUGCUCAUCAAAAUUCAGGACUAGACUUGAUGCUAAUCUCCCUUUAUCAUGGCCAUUGAGUCGUGGGAUGAAUACGCCAAGCCACCAGGGACACAGAGAGAGGUGAGGAGAAGAAGAAGCAGAGAUGGGGAGAGAACACAGGACGGGUCCCGAGUGACGUCAUGCUUUGUGUGCACAGACCUCCUUCCUCCAUGAACACUGAAUUUUUCAGAGAUUCCCACUAGCCUCCUUUCUGUAAAUCACUUGAUCCAGUGGCUGUAUUUUUAACUGACAAGAACCUUAAUAAAGGACACAUGUACGAUACUAUGUUUUGCUUG
rnacentral:lncRNA from 1 species